AGCGUAGAGUUAAAGCAAGGCUAGACUUACUUGUGACGGAUUUCACUUCAUUGGCCGUGACCUAUGCUUCCGGGCACGCACGAUGGGAAAUUCAAUAAACUUAAUGUUGAAACUGGGUAGCAAUGCAAUAGCUUUUGUUUUUUAUGGGGUUGAUAUUGUAUAUAAGAUCUGAGUUUUCUGUUGAAGAAAACAGUCUGCCCCAAGUUCUUACACAAUUUCUCAACUCAAGUAGCUCACCAGAACAAAAACAUGUUUAGUUCAAAGUCCAUGUUAAUUGGAAUCAUGUUGGUACACUGCAUGAAUUGCAUGUCUUCGACCACCACAGAACGCACCACCGACCGUAAGCAACUAGAUCAAGAAAGUCAGGAGCAACGCCAUCAUCAAGGUGCCACUUAUUAUUUACAUGAACGUAAAAAUGAGAAGCAUGAUUUGGAGUGGCUCUUCCACUCGUCAUUAUGCUGAUAUAUUUCUUCAAGAACAACUUAAGUUCAUGAAGUUAAUAAGUUUACGGCACCCAUUCGAUGUUAAAUGAAUUUGAUUUUGGCGAUCAGGAUACGGAAUUAUCGGGUAUGGAGGACAUGUCGGUGGCUACGGAGGAGGCUAUGGAGAGGGAUACGGUGGACAGUACAAUAAUUAUUAUGGGUACAACGGUUACAACUAUCCAUUUCUCGGCUCCAACCUGCUUGCCCAAUACGGUGCCGGUUAUGGUUCUGUUGGAUAUGGCACGGGGCACUUCAAUUAUCCAUUACCUUACUCCUAUCCAUCUUAUGGAACCUACGGCUACCACGCUUAGACCAAUGGCUUAAUAGGUUAACGUGCUCGAUAGACUAUUACCAAUUCAUUGAAUCAACACUUCUAUUUCGUGACAAUAAAUGCGAUUUCAAGGCA